GAUGAACGCUAGCGGCAGGCUUAACACAUGCAAGUCGAGGGGUAUAAGGAGCUUGCUCCUUAGAGACCGGCGCACGGGUGCGUAACGCGUAUGCAAUCUGCCUUUCACAAAGGGAUAGCCCAGAGAAAUUUGGAUUAAUACCUUAUAGUAUAAAGAUGUGGCAUCACAUUCUUAUUAAAGAUUUAUCGGUGAAAGAUGAGCAUGCGUCCCAUUAGCUAGUUGGUAAGGUAACGGCUUACCAAGGCGACGAUGGGUAGGGGUCCUGAGAGGGAGAUCCCCCACACUGGUACUGAGACACGGACCAGACUCCUACGGGAGGCAGCAGUGAGGAAUAUUGGUCAAUGGGCGCAAGCCUGAACCAGCCAUGCCGCGUGCAGGAUGACGGUCCUAUGGAUUGUAAACUGCUUUUGUACGGGAAGAAACACUCGGACGUGUCCGAGCUUGACGGUACCGUAAGAAUAAGGAUCGGCUAACUCCGUGCCAGCAGCCGCGGUAAUACGGAGGAUCCAAGCGUUAUCCGGAAUCAUUGGGUUUAAAGGGUCCGUAGGCGGCCAGGUAAGUCAGUGGUGAAAGCCCAUCGCUCAACGGUGGAACGGCCAUUGAUACUGCCUGGCUUGAAUUUCCAGGAAGCAACUAGAAUAUGUAGUGUAGCGGUGAAAUGCUUAGAUAUUACAUGGAAUACCAAUUGCGAAGGCAGGUUGCUACUGGUGGAUUGACGCUGAUGGACGAAAGCGUGGGUAGCGAACAGGAUUAGAUACCCUGGUAGUCCACGCCGUAAACGAUGGAUACUAGCUGUUGGGAGCAAUCUCAGUGGCUAAGCGAAAGUGAUAAGUAUCCCACCUGGGGAGUACGAACGCAAGUUUGAAACUCAAAGGAAUUGACGGGGGCCCGCACAAGCGGUGGAGCAUGUGGUUUAAUUCGAUGAUACGCGAGGAACCUUACCAAGGCUUAAAUGUAGUCUGACAGAUCUGGAAACAGGUCCUUCUUCGGACAGAUUACAAGGUGCUGCAUGGUUGUCGUCAGCUCGUGCCGUGAGGUGUCAGGUUAAGUCCUAUAACGAGCGCAACCCCUGUUGUUAGUUGCCAGCGAGUCAUGUCGGGAACUCUAGCAAGACUGCCAGUGCAAACUGUGAGGAAGGUGGGGAUGACGUCAAAUCAUCACGGCCCUUACGCCUUGGGCUACACACGUGCUACAAUGGCCGGUACAGAGAGCAGCCACCUCGCGAGGGGGAGCGAAUCUAUAAAGCCGGUCACAGUUCGGAUCGGAGUCUGCAACUCGACUCCGUGAGGCUGGAAUCGCUAGUAAUCGGAUAUCAGCCAUGAUCCGGUGAAUACGUUCCCGGGCCU
rnacentral:rRNA from 1 species